AAGUCGUAACAAGGUCUCCGUUGGUGAACCAGCGGAGGGAUCAUUACCAGAGUGCCCUAGGCUCUCCAACCCAUUGUGAACUUACCAAACGUUCCCUCGGCGGGCUCAGCGCGCGGUGGCCUCCGGGCCUCCGGGCGUCCGCCGAGGAAAACCAAACCCUGAUUUAAUCGUAUUUCUCUGAGGGGCGAAAGCCCGAAAACAAAAUGAAUCAAAACUUUCAACAACGGAUCUCUUGGCUCUG
rnacentral:misc_RNA from 1 species